GCCCUUUAUCUCUGAUCUCCCUCAGGCCUCAAAGCCUCUCACUGCCACUGGAACUGAAGGAUGGCAGCUAAGUAAGCCCCUUCUCCAGUGGGCACUUCCUUCCUGACCUCUGUCCUUUGUCAUAGGCCUUCUGUUAAUGCUUGCCCUCUGCGUCAUUAGAUUUAUUCAAGACCAGAUUCAAAGGAUCUCUCACCAAACCAUGAACCAGCUUCUGUUACAGGACUUCCAACCCCCCACCAAAAUUGAGCCGUCCGAAGUCAGCAUCACCUGGCAUCUCCUGACCAUCACCAUUGCCUCAGUGACAUCCUGUGCCCCUAACAAGUGUCCAGAAGCCGCUUCUUCCCAGCAGGGAAAAACUACAGAUGAUUGAUCUACGCCCCUGUCCCUUAAGGGGCCAAAUAACCAACAAAAAAAGGGUGGGAAUGUAAUGUCUUCACUUAGCAUCUGGACAGCCAUCUUAAUUGACAGCCCCCAUUUUAAGAAAAAUUUUGCUUUCCCACCCAAAGGCAUUUCUGAGAAAGGCUCACCACCCCCUCGCCCAUCUCCUGGUUCCACGCUUUCCUUUCAGAAGAGCUGUCCCAAGAUCAGGUGGAAGAUAACCCAAUUAUGUUGCAAUUUUGCUUGAUUCCCAGAAUGCUUUGCACGUAUCGGUGAACUGACUCCUCAAAAUGAGGCUGCGGGAAGCUGCAUGGACAAGUCUUCCUGUAGACCUUCAAGGGCAGGUGUGCAGAUGGGCAGCGUCUGCAGCACCCACUCCUACUGCUCGUACACCAUAAGCAUGCAGCAGGAACUGGCUCCCAGCAGCCUCUCGCCUCCUGCCUCCAAGUCAUUCUCUGCCACUCAGCCAAUAUACCUUGUCACAAUGCAGCAUUCAGCAAUGCCCAUCAUACCCUGCUCCACAACCUGCCCUGGCUCCCCAGGGCCCCAGGAGAGAGUCGGACAAUCUGAUCUGGACUGUUAUUUUCACAUGGUCUGCUUCCAGAUCCCCGCUCCGCUCCUCUCCCUCUGUAUGAUGGGCCCCUGCUCCUCCCCAGCACACACCAUGGCCUGUCUAUACCACUUACCACCUGAUGUUACCCACAUGUUUGGCUCUUUGUGGUUCUCCUCAUUUGGUUGGCUCUGGUUGGGAUGUCCCUUCAUUUCUGGAAAAUGCCUACUGAUCUCUGAGAACCCAGGUGAAAUUCAACCUCUUUUGGAAGUCCUGAGUUACCUGACAAGAUAACCCCAGGUGAGACUCCAAGGCGUGUUGGUAAACCUUUAACAACAAUCCCCGGGGAGGUUUGGGGCUGUAAGGAUAGCCUUAAGCCUUAGCUUAAGCAACUCAAUUUUAAAAACUCCACUUUGAAACCUGCAGCCUCACCAGGCACACCUACAGAGCCCUCCAACAUGACCAUCAGGCAUAGCCCUGACAUGAACAAGUCACUUCUCCCCACCCUGACAAGCUCAGAGUGAAGUCUCUGUCAUGUUGUCCUCACCCCCAUAAGGGGGAGAGGCAAGAAAAUCAGGGUGGGGACCACCAGACCAGAUGCUUUAACCUCAGGGCAAACGAUGUCACUGAGAAAUCUGGUGGCAGCUGAUAGGAAUUGAAAAGGUGGUCCUAAGCCCCAAAAUUUAGUAUAAAUGAUGGAGCAAAUGCACAGACAUUCAGCUAGCCAACACUGAUGCCCUCAUGCUGGAGAGCCUGAUGAGGACCUGGACUGACAUCCCAACUCUUCUCUUUGCCUGGUCCUCUGCAUCUUCCUCACCGCUCUCAAACUCUACAGCCACAUCUUGGCCCUGGUGAGAACUGCAAUUUCUCCCUACGACUCUCUCCUCAACUGGUCAUCAGCUCCACCCGAGAAGAAGCCUUCCUCGGUCCCUGACCUGAUCACCGUGGUCUGGGUGAGUGUGUAUCUGCUGAACUUAGAGCCUAAGGCUUGAGACUUUAGAUCUGGCACUUAAACUUAGCGUGCAGAGGGAAUGUCUGUCGCAAGCCUGCCAGGAUUAAGGAUGUUUACAGUGUUCAGAAUUAAUCUAGAAUUGUUUGCAGUGGAUUGAUUGUGUCUAUUCCAGUGCCUAGCAUUAAGGAUUGUCAUUUUCUUGAUUAAGAACCUACAGAGUGAAAUUGUACUGAGUGAUAUGAGUGAAUAAAGCAUUGAAAAGGGCAGAAGCACGUG
rnacentral:lncRNA from 1 species